GAGGACUGGGUCUUUGCGGGCGAGAUGAGGGUGUCCAUUCAACUGGCCUACAAAGUCCCAGUCCUC
rnacentral:miRNA from 1 species